AGAGUGAGUAACGACUCCGGGGAAAUACAUUCUGUGUGGAUCCAGACAGCGGAGCGGACACUCAUGCCAGCAGACACACCAGGAAGCGGCUCCGGAUACGUCACUCCCGACCAACCGAAACCCCGGACGCUAAACUCCGCCCACCCGCCCUCCGACCCCGCCCUCCUCCUCCGCCUCCUCCAAACCUCCAAGCGGCCACCGAGGAUUGACAGGCAAGAAGAAGAAGAGGAAAGAAAAAAAACACACACACACAGGAUGGAGGCAGGCAGCUCAUAUUUCCAGGGUAAUUGCAGAAGCGUGGACCCAACAUUGUGCUUAAAAGAAAUAAAUGUGACGCCGUAAAUGCUGUAGAGGCAAUAUUUCCUGAGAGUAAAGCCAUUCUGAAUGAAAUGCUUAUUAAAACAUGGUCGCUAUUUA